UUGAACAGUUGGGCAGCCAUGUUAGAGAAGAUCCAGUGGCUGGCAGUGAGGAGAAGUGCUGCGUUAUUUAACCCGGUCUUGACUAAUGUUCCCGGUGACCAGAGGGAAGACGGAGAGUAACUGUGUGUCUUCACCCAGUUGGUUCUGUGCCUUAGGAAUAAAGCUGUAUAUGAAAGGUUUAAUGAAAAAAUAAAACAGAAUCUGGACGAUG